rnacentral:misc_RNA from 1 species
GAUGAAGAACGUAGUGAAAUGCGAUAAGUAGUGUGAAUUGCAGAAUUCAGUGAAUCAUCGAAUCUUUGAACGCACAUUGCGCCCCUUGGUAUCCCGAGGGGCAUGCCUGUUCGAGCGUCAUUUCACCACUCAAGCCUGGCUUGGUGUUGGGCGACGUCCCAUUUGGGGACGCGUCUCGAAACGCUCGGCGGCGUGGCACCGGCUUUAAGCGUAGCAGAAUCUUUCGCUUUGGAAGUCGGGGCCCCGUCUGCCGGAAGACCUGCUCGCAAGGUUGACCUCGGAUCAGGCAGGGAUACCCGCUGAACUUAAGCAUAUCAAUAAGCGGAGGA